rnacentral:rRNA from 1 species
UACGAAGGGGGCUAGCGUUGCUCGGAAUCACUGGGCGUAAAGGGUGCGUAGGCGGGUUUUUAAGUCAGGGGUGAAAUCCUGGAGCUCAACUCCAGAACUGCCUUUGAUACUGAAGAUCUUGAGUCCGGGAGAGGUGAGUGGAACUGCGAGUGUAGAGGUGAAAUUCGUAGAUAUUCGCAAGAACACCAGUGGCGAAGGCGGACUCUCUGGGACGGUACUGGACGCUGAGACGCGAAAGCGUGGGAGCGAACGAGGAUAGAUACC